UACGUAGGGACCAAGCGUUGUUCGGAUUUACUGGGCGUAAAGGGCGCGUAGGCGGCUUGACAAGUCACUUGUGAAAUCUCCGGGCUUAACUCGGAACGGCCAAGUGAAACUGUCAUGCUAGAGUGCAGAAGGGGCAAUCGGAAUUCUUGGUGUAGCGGUGAAAUGCGUAGAUAUCAAGAGGAACACCUGAGGUGAAGACGGGUUGCUGGGCUGACACUGACGCUGAGGCGCGAAAGCCAGGGGGAGCAAACGGG
rnacentral:rRNA from 1 species